rnacentral:lncRNA from 1 species
UGCCAAGACCAAAAUCCCUCAAGUGCUGAGUAAGUUUUUCUCAAUCUGUGAUGUCACUGUUUUUACACACUUAUAGACGUCAGAGAUGUAUAGAAUGCGUUAUGGAGUGGGAUUAUGAAGCUGCCUUUUUUUAUUUUCAUGUUCACAGAAACAUUGGAAGAAACAAGGACACAGAGGAAUCAGUACAGGUUUUAUGGGUACCUGUGUGCCUACUUUACAUCCAUAUACGGCCACAGACCAGGCCUAUAUAAAAACAUGUUGGUGAAAGAGGUGGAGGAGGCAAAAUGUGACCAGUCUGGGGUGUACCUGAUCAAUGUAAGUCUAUGAAAUACAGCUGGCUGUGUUUAUUUGUUUGUUUGCUUGGUUGGUUAUCUUUGGAAACAAUUGCAGUCGCAGGAGCGUAAUGUGUUUUUUUGUGUUUUUUCUCUGUUCAAUUUCUAUUAGGUGGGGGAACACAAAACAAAUCGGGAGUACGGCAUGGUCCAGAUGUCGCUGACAAAGGAGGAGUACAGCUGGUUUUCCGACUUCCUCAAAUUCAAGCACUGUCUCUUAGGGGGAAAGAAGGCCCAGCACUUCUUUUUCAAUUCAACAAACACUCAGAUGAAGAACCUGCCUGCCUACCUGAGGGAGGUGUGGAAGGAGAUGGGUCUGCCCGAAUGUCCUUCAUUCACUGACCUGAGGACCACCAUUGUCACUCAUGUAGGUCAGAUUAGAUAGGAAUCUAAUUAAUGUAAGAUCCUAUUCUAUUGUUGUCUGAAGUAAUAUCAAUAAUAUCAUAUAUUUGUGUGUGUGUGUGUGUGUGUGUCUUACAGGUAAAAAACAUGCUCCCAAAGGUUGACAGGGAAAGGGUGGCCAACUUCAUGUGCCACAACAUCCAGACGGCAGACAAAUAUUAUGCCAUGAAUUUAAAUCCAACCCAAGCAAAUGAAACCAGGGCACUCUUUGAGGCUGCACUGAAGGGGGAAGAUAACACAGUCGCCGCAGAGAACCAGCCCUCCACCUCAGGAGAAAGAAAGCAGAAGGUGAGAGAGGAUGCCUCCCUCUCCGACGGGAGCACCACCCCUGAAGAGACCAAGGUGAUGUACCAGGAGUCUGGCACGUCCGCCGGUGACUCGGAAGAGGAGGAAGAGGAUGAAGAUGAGGAACAGAUGGCCAGACAACUUCCAGAGACACCUUCCAAGGUGACCAAUCCUCAGGUGGAGAUGGAACUUACCCCAAAGAGGAAGCGGAGCAUCUGCACACGCCGCAUGGAGGUCGCCAUCAGCCCCAUGCUAGUCUCACCCCUCAAAGUGAGGCUCAAGUCGCCCCCCCCACCAGUCCCUCAUUGUCACAUUAAAAGGGAUGCAACAACUAAACUCAAAUAA